rnacentral:rRNA from 1 species
UACGGGGGGGGCAAGCGUUGUUCGGAAUUACUGGGCGUAAAGGGCUCGUAGGUGGCCAACUAAGUCAGACGUGAAAUCCCUCGGCUUAACCGGGGAACUGCGCAUGAUACUGGAUGGCUUGAGUUUGGGAGAGGGAUGCGGAAUUCCAGGUGUAGCGGUGAAAUGCGCAGAUAUCAGGAGGAACACCGGUGGCGAAGGCGGGUCUCUGGGCCGAUACUGACGCUGAGGAGCGAAAGCGUGGGGAGCGAACAGG